UAGGGAAUCUUCGGCAAUGGGGGCAACCCUGACCGAGCAACGCCGCGUGAGUGAAGAAGGUUUUUCGGAUCGUAAAGCUCUGUUGUAAGAGAAGAACGUGUGUGAGAGUGGAAAGUUCACACAGUGACGGUAACUUACCAGAAAGGGACGGCUGACUACGUGCCAG
rnacentral:rRNA from 1 species